rnacentral:lncRNA from 11 species
UUUAAUAUCAAUCCAAAUAAGUUCAAAUUUAAAUUAACGAUAAGUAGUCGAAGAUAAUUUAAUCUUUCCAUCCGUCCAAGAAAAAUGGAUUCUAGAUAAACGAGAACGAGUAGCGCUAUCGAGGAUUUAUCGGCCAUUGUUCGUCGUUCGAACGCGUAAAUCGCGGUUUUAAAAUAUUCCACUGCGUUCCUUCGACGAAUCCUCUUCCCCCUCCUCAAUCUCUUUCAUUCACUCGAAUUUCAUUUCUUCGUUUCAAGGGAUAGGAAAGAUAUUUAAAAAAUUUUUGGUGUAAUUUUUGGAUAAAAAAAAUUUCCUUUAUCGCAAAUAUAUUUUUCCCUUCGAUCGUCACAUCGUUAAUUCCAUCGAAAGAUAUAUUAUUUUGAAAAUAAGAAAAUCGCUCCUCGAGUAUAAAUAAAAACUGCUUGUAUAAAAUACGAGCUCGGUAUUUCGAUCCAUAUUUAUUCCACGAGAAACUAUCAGGACGACCGUUUCUUGUGUUACCGCAAACGCGGCCACGAAGCCACGAUCAAUAAUCCCCGUAACACGCAGCUUCAUCCCGUCACAGCUGAGCAGCAUCUCUCAGGUAACGCAAGAAAUGCGGAAAAAAGUGGUAACACCUCUGUAAAAAAAAAUUCCCCAUUCCUCUCGACAAGCAAAACAAGAAGAAGAAGCAUCGUAAAUUUGACUCGGCCCCAAGCCGUUAAUCGAGAAUCGAUCCCUUUUUCUCUCUCUCUCUCUCAGGAUUUUAUCCCUGUAGCAACCUCUUAUUUAUGCAACCUCGAUGGAUGUAUCGUGGACAUAAGUUGCACGACUUUUUCGUUUCCAAACAUUCUCCAUGUUUGCUCGAACGGUAGAACAGAAGUCGACAACCCCGACAUCUAUCGAUCGGCAUUCGAUUUACAUAUUAUGGGAAUAUGGCCGCGUAUGGGCUAGUCGAGAAGUGGUUUUAUUUACAAUUUACAUCCGAACUCUCUCCACGAUCCGUGUAAAAUAAAAUUCCUCCUUUCGUCUCUUCUAAUUAUCUUGCCGCAUCGCACGAUUAUUACAAAAUUCUAGUUUCGUUUACAGAGAAAAAAAUAACGGAUUUAGAAAUGGAAAAAAUGCGUGCUCGAGAGUGAACGAUAAAAAUGUUGCGAGGAUCGAGGCGUGAACGCGACGGUGAAGGAGGAGGAGGAGGAAGUAAGGGCGCAGGGGAGACGUGUCAUAAUGUCGGCGGUAGUCUAUAAACAUGCACGUUUUAUAGGAUAAUGGCCGAUAAGGGGGUAUUACUCCGCCGCCGUCCACGUAUCGUCGUAAUAAAUAAUUUAUUCGAAUCGGCGACGAAUCUGGACAAAAUCGCGGAAAUACGGUGUUGCGCGAUCCUGAGUGCAAAGUGGUUGUCGCGGAGGAGGGGCGGAGUGGAAGUGGAUGGGAAACGAUCUCUGGUGGAAAGUUUGGAAAGUUUGGAACGUCCACUCGUUUUAACGUGAUCGAGAGUUCGAGUGAAAUAUUAAAAUUUCCGGGGAAAAAGUUUUUUUUGGGGGAGAUUGGACGCGUUAAAUAUCGGUGGCAAGUGGUCAAUUUGUAUUCCAUGGGAGGAAAGUUUGAUUAAGUUGUUAAAAAAAAAAAAAGUAAUACACUUUAAUAACCAUAUUAGGAAAGAUUAAAAGAUUAAAAAAUUGCAUCGAGCCGAAUAUUUCACUAUCCUCUUUUUUUUUGAAAUUUAUUUUUUAUAUUUCUCGAUCGAUUAAUAUUUUCCAGGCAAAGAAUAUUUGAGAAAUAAAAAAAAAAUAUCAAUGAUUUCUCGAUCCCACUCUUCCUCAUCUCUUCCUUCUUUUCAGAGAUCCUCUUCAAAGAUCUGCGACAGUUUCUCUGGAGGGCACCAGCUGGCGGUAAAAGUCGAAGCUGGAAAUCGGCCAUGUUUAAGUCUUUCAUAUAAAGAAAGAGAGAGAAAGUAUAUCUCUUCUCUCGUAGCAUUCCGCGAUUCAUAGAUGGAAGGGAUGAGGACAGCAGGGAUGAUGGUGGUUGGAACGUGGACCUGGUUUGGGGUGGGGUGGGGUUCGAAGCCACCCCUCGAAUAAUCCGACGUAUAAAUUGGAUUGUCUGUGGGACGUGGAAACUGAACGGCGGUGCAGGCGUGUAGUGGUUCGGUUGAGACGUGAGGAGGACGAGGUGAGAGAGGCGAGGUGCGAGAGGGACUCGUUGCAAAUAGAGGAGGAGAGAAAGAACGCGGUGGGAUGAGAGAAAGAGUGGAAUUUGAUGGAAGAAAUAAGAGAGAAAUAAGAAGAAGAGAAAAAGAGAAGGAUACAGAAGAGAGUAAGAAAAAAAGCGAGAAAGAGAGAAAGAGAGGGGAGAAGAGCGCGGCGAAACAAAACAGAAGAACAGAAACAAAAUAGAAGAGAGAGGUGAGAAAGAUUUAUUAUAAAGAGAAGGAAAAAGUAAAAACGGCAAGAAUACGAGUAAAUAACGAGAUACAAAGACUUGUUGCGAGAGAAAGAAGAAGAUAAAAACGAAAGAGAAGUAGAAGAGAAGGAGAACAAAAGAGAAACAAGAGAGGGUUGGUUGGUUGCAAUUAUAGAAGAAGAGAAGAAGAAGGAACACGUACAGUCUGUCUGUCGCUUUGGCCUCGCACAACUAUGAAAACUCGUUUCCCAACACAGAGAUAGUAGAAUACACAUAGAUUAUGCGCGAGUCACGGAGGACGGCCAUUCAUACGCCACCCCCGCCUCCACCCUCUGUGAUUUCGCCGGAUCUCCCAUCGCGCCGAUUGCGGGGGUGGAAAUGGUAGGUGGAUUAUGCUCGUCCGCGGCUGAACUCGCGUGCAAUGCAAUUAUGCUCGCGUUAUCGUGCCACCACUCUACGAUAUCGAGCCAAUUUCACUGUGGUGACCCGUUUCAAACUCGUUCCACGCCGCCAACUCUUCUGUAUUGGAUUGCGGGGGUGGUACGAGGUUUACGCUGCAAUGGCGUCAAAUAUGGUACAUUGGAAAUAUAUAGCGUAUAGAAGAUAGGCGAUUCUUGUGAAUUCUUGUGAAUUCGAUUUGUGUCUGUGUUGUGAAGAAUAAUCUUUGCAAAUUCAUAUAAUUAAAAAUGUAUAUACAGAGAAUAUGAUUUGUUAAGUUGAAUUAUAGUGAAAAUUUUCAGUAACCUUAAAAAAGUGGAUUAAAAAAUUAUUUUUAUCUUUCUGUUUACAUGUUUAAAAUAACAUUUCAAAAAGAUAUAAUCAGAAAAGUUAUUAUAGUUAAGUGGUUUUACACUUGGUUUCUACAAAGUGGUCGAAAAAUGUUCAUCUUGCAAAAGGUCAUGAUACAACGAGUGAAAACGAGAAAAUGGGAUUCAUCAUCUAAAUGUAACGGAUUAAUUCAGAAGAUGAUCUUAGGACCAGAUAUCCGACGAAUUGGAAAGGUUCGGAACCACCAAUGCUAUAUCUUGUUAUUUCGAGAAAAACGAGUGAUACGUGACGAUCGGAGGAGAAACACAUCCAGCCAAAUAGACCGAGCUGAUUGUUUAGAAGCCUCGGUUGGAAGUGACUGAAAUCGGUUGUUGGACAAAAAUGUUGAGAAGAGUGUGGUGAUUAUAUUACUCAUAGUUUACCCAUUUUUUGUACUCUGUGAUAACUGUGGAUCAACCAACAACAAAUCAAACGUGUACAAUUUAAAUUUGUAAUAUACAGUGUAAUACUGUAAGAAAGGUUACUUUGGAAAUGAUGUUAACUAUCUUCAAACAGUCACCAACAACAUCAAACACGCUUAUAAAUCUAUAAAGAUGUCAACACAGCAUGAUACUGUAACUAACAGUAUCACUUUGAGGAAAUAUUGAAGUUAAUCAACGUUUUCUUUCACUUCAAACGAACCUCAACUUCAAGAGACCAAUCAACAGGAUCAAACAUAUAUGUGUAUUCCCAUAAUUUACAUUUAUGAAAAUUGUAACAUACUCUGGCUAACAAUGCCCACUUUAGAAAACGCAUGCAUAAAAGUUUAUCAAUGUUAUCUUCCAAUUCAAACUCGACUUCAUCCUCGUUGAAGAGGCCAAUCAACACGUUUCAACUUCGUUCAAAGGGUCAAGCAACGACAUCACAAAUCCGUGCAAAUCCUCCAUCUUUGCCAAGCGAGGCAAACUUCGUUAACCAACUGUGAUUCGACCACCACUUCAAAAUCGUCUAGAACUACAAUUUACGAGCAGCGCGUGCAUACGAUGCUGAUAAACGCGACUCCCUUUAAUGACCCAUUCCUAGUCCACCCCGAUGGACCUCAUCGCCUUCUCCUUCCCACUUUCUUUCUCCCCCUCCCCAUCUUUAUGCAGAUGGCGGCGGAGACCGCGGUUAAUUUCCAACCUCCUGGAUGGCCUCGUUCAUUCUAAUUUCCCCACCAACGUCCCCUGGAUUGGAGUCCAACAACGAUUUGCACGUUGCACCUGUAUCCACGCUCACGUGUGUUUCACUUCGUGGAAUAAUAUCUCCGAAUAAAAAAAAAUUUUUUAUUUUUUCCGGCUAUUGUUUCCAUGCAUUCUUCCUGCUCGAUGAAGAAAGAAUUCCAUGGUUUCGUGAUCAUUGUUGUUAUUGAAAAGAUGAUACGUACGUUUCUUGGAAAAUGUGAUACGAAAUUUAUUAUUCCAGGAAUAUGGUGGUGCAGAAAAUUUCUAACAUUUAAUCCAGAUUGUGGAAAGAAAAAAAAGAAGUCAAUUUCACCGACAAGAGAAAAGCAUUAAAAUAGAAGCAUUAUUCCUGAGAAAGUUGGCAUUCCCACUGACUCGCUUAAUUUUCUUCUCAGGGAUCCAAAGAGUUACUAUUUUUCCGCCUUACCUGCAUCGAUGCUUUGCAAAAAGGGGAAAAAAAAUCGUUAAGAGUAAACUGUUUGACGAAGGAGAACGAUACAUGGAAAAGUAAACGAGAGAAUCGAGAAGAGCGAAUCUUGAUUCUCCUUCGAAGAUGUAGGUGGAGUCAAGAGAGAGAGGAGUAGAUUAUCUUGCCAGACGGGUGAAAUGGUAAAGUUCUACGUGUCGGAGAGCAAAGACGAAGCUGGAGAAUAUUAUCCGUGAGAGGAAAAGAGAGAAGAAAUCUAACUAUUUUGAAAGCAGAGUAGAAAAAGAUGGAAAGAGAAAGGAGAAAGAUAAUAUUGAAAGAAGACUGGAAAGAAAGAAGAUGACUUUUUUGAAUGGAAAGAAGAGAAAAGAAAGCUGUUCUAUUUUAAAAGUCCAUAAUCGCCGUCGUUCCGCCAUCACGUCCAUCACCCUCGAGAGCGAAGCACGCGUUACAAUUUGCUAAUUACCAUAAUUGGCAAUUACCCAUCGUUAAUAGAACGCAGAACACUCGUUGAACAAUCAACUUGGGAAGUUAACACGCGCUAACUAUAUGCGAAAUGGCGAAGGAAGAAAGAAGGGAAGGGAGCAGCAAGUUGUGUGUACACCGGUUGUUGCAGCAACGAUUAUUCUUUUUGCGAUAAAAAGGAAAAAGAAAACGAUCGAAACCGGUAAUUUGCAGCUAUCUGAUCAGCAGGAAACACGAAAGAUAACCGGUGUUCCAUUUUAAUAAACAGUCUGUUAUCUGUUUCAAAGGAAAACCAAACAAGUAUCUUCGUUAAACUCUUCUCGAUUCCCUUUUUACGAUCUUCCUCGAUUAUAUACGCGAUUUUAAUGUUAAUGGUUCCCAUUUUUGCUUUGGAAUCUCGAAUUAAUUGGAAUUUUGAUAAAAUUGCCACGGUCAAGUAUGAUGUAUGAGAAGAAUUUUUAAAGAUAUUGCUUGGGUUUCCUUAUUGCCAAUAGAAUUUCAAUAAGUUCUUCUGAAAAGUUUCCAAUUAUCAUUUUUGACUUUCCUUUUUCUUGUUUCCAAUGUAAUCUCCAAGAUUUUCUAUCAGAAUUUUGUGAAAAUAAUUGUACAUCAACUAUUCAAUUAUACUUCCAGUAUUUGAAUUUUAAUUAUUACAAUUUGAAAUAUUUGUUGUAAUUCUGAGAUACCAAGUGAAAGUAAAGAUCUUGUGUAAUAAGUUAAUUGCAAGGUAAAUUCUAAGAAUUUUAUGCAAAUAAUUGUACAUUAACUAUUCUUAUACUUUCAGUAUUUGAAUUUUAAUUAUUAUAAUUUGAAGUAUUUGUUGUAAUUCUGAGAUACCAAGUAAAAGUAAAGAUUUUGUGUAAUAAGUUAAUUGCAAGAUAAAUUCUAAGAAUAAUUUGUAGUCUCCAAGAUUUUCUAUCAGAAUUUUGUGCAAAUAAUUGUACAUCAACUAUUUUUAUACUUCCAGUAUUUGAAUUUU